GACGAACGCUGGCGGCGUGCUUAACACAUGCAAGUCGAGCGGAAAGGCCCUUUCGGGGGUACUCGAGCGGCGAACGGGUGAGUAACACGUGAGUAAUCUGCCCCUGGCUUCGGGAUAGCCACCGGAAACGGUGAUUAAUACAGGAUACGACAUCUCCACGCAUGUGGUGGGUGUGGAAAGAUUUUUCGGCCAGGGAUGUGCUGGCGGCCAGUCAGCUUGUUGGUGGGGUAAUGGCCUACCAAGGCUUCGACGGGUAGCCGGCCUGAGAGGGUGACGGGCCACGCUGGAGCUGAGACACGGACCAGACUACACGGGAGGCAGCAGUAGGGAGGAUUGGACAAUGGGCGGAGGCCUGCUCCAGCAACGCCGCGUGAGGGGUGACGGCCUUCGGGUUGUAAACCACUUUCAGCACAGACGAAGCGCAAGUGACGGUAUGUGCAGAAGAAGGACCGGCCAACUACGUGCCAGCCGCCGCCGUAAAAC
rnacentral:rRNA from 1 species